UCCCACAAGAGAAGUUGGAGUCACCGUCCAGAUCUAACUGCAUCUAGAAUGUAUUUCCUUUCUUUCUUUUACAUUUUAUAAAUAGUCCAGCCUUCCUACAGCUUUUUUCCUGGCCUGGUGACUCAUCAUCGACUCAUCAUACUUGUUGCUUCACUUAAAUAGGGCAUUGAAAAGUCCCUUGCUUAAAUGGGGGCGGGGGGGGGGGGAAAUCCCCAGCUGCAGAUUACCAACUGACCACUUCAUCCUGAAAGACCUGAAGUAAUUCCUGCUGUCCCACGGCUGGGAGGUUCGUGCUGAGAUGAAUCAGUGCGAGGCAGAGCAAUGCUAUCUGGGCCAGCCAGUCUCUCAACGACUGGCAUUUUUGACUUGUGUACUGCAUUGAGAAUUUUGCAUGGAUGCCACAGUUUUCCCUUUAUUUCAAAAAAUUGCAUGACUCUCUUGCCAGCAUGGUUUCCUAGCAAAAGCACAUGGAGGUUUCACACCACCCUCCUGAGCAGCACCAGCUUUGCUGGCAACCUGGGAAGCUCCCGGGACACCUCAGCUGCAGCCAGGUGAGGAGGUGAGGACCCAAAGACACUAACAUCUCCCAGGCUUCAGGAGAAGAAAAGCCCCCAGUUUUGGACAGCUGCAAGCUGGGCUGGGGGUUUGGAGGUGCCAGUGCUGGAAGGGAAGGUGAGCCCAUGAGUGAGGACCAGUGAGGGAUGCAGCCAGCAGCAUCAAUGAGAGGUUCAAGAUGCUCCAGUGCCCCCAGCAAGGCUGCCAUGCCACAGAGCUGCUUCUGGUUUCCCAUGCCCCAUGCCCUGCUCUGGGCUGCAGAAGCUGGUGAAGAACCAGGAGCAGAGUGGUGCCACAAGGUGGGAUGACAGGGUGACUGUCACCUGCGGAUGGAAGGAAUGUGGUACCAGUGGGAAACCCAAUUCCCUGUGGUGGGAGUUCUGGUAAGGUGCCCCACGGCCCAAGGGUGGGGUAGCCCCUCCUCCCAGGACUGCAUUCAGCCACUUGCCUGUAGGAGCAGGGACUCUCGUCUCCAGGAAGGCAGGAAUCCUGACACCUCAGAGCACCUGCAUGGCACUGUGAGGGCAGGUCACGGUGGAGAGAAGAAAAGGAAGUAAAACCGCUUAUGCUCAACCAAGAGCAUUAGAGGCAGCUACUCCCUAAACCUGCAUAGCAACCAGAUGCCAGCAGCAGCACAACACGCUCAGCUGCAAACAGGGGAAUCCCUUUGGUUUUCCUAGCCCUCACUUCUGCUUUUGCAGCCCCUACUGCCUCAGUCAGGAUUACCUGAGGAAUACUGAUUACAGCUGAUAAGAGUUCUGUCUUCAUUGAGCUGAUUGCACAGCUUCUUUGAAGAUGGCUGCUCUGUCCUCUUGUUAUGCUGUGCCUCCCAAAUGCCUUUUUAUUUAGCAGCUGUUCCUCUGCUGUGCAGCGACUGGUGAUGUUACAUCACGGCUGAUGGGUGCUCAGGGGACUUGCUUUGUUUGCUGGAUGGCAAUUUCAUUCACGUUUUGAUAACCCUGCAUUUUAGGCCAUUAAGGUACUCUCUGUACCCUGUUUUUCUUUCAUUCCAGGCAGGUUGCAUGCGAUACUCUCUCUUUUGAUUUAGGGGAGGUGGGGGUUGCUCUUUCCAAGUGACUGCCAGGCAAUUAAGCACUAAAGGCUCUGUUUCGCGAGCAGAAGGGUUUUAACUGCCUGAGGUUGUUGCUCACAAUAAGAACCCCGUGCCAGUUUCCUGGCUAUCCCGGAGAAGAUCCCAAUUUUCACCAUUAAACAAAGACAAUUGUAUGGAAUUCAGCCCGGAUGGCAAUAAAGAGAAGUUUGUGAAGGCU
rnacentral:lncRNA from 1 species